UCGUCGACCGCACUAUGAAAACCCAUUUGACAUAAAAUACAUCGUUUCUUCGUUCGGAUUUUAACGUCAAUUUUACGAAAGCUCUAAGCCUUUCGUUUGGUACUCCAGAGGUUUUAAAAUUGCUCAAUAACUCCUGUGUGAAGAAUUGUUGCAAUAGGAAAGUGCUGGGCGAAGUUGGAAGCGUCUCUAACUGCGUAAAACCUUCGUAACAUGGAAUUUUUAAGAGCUUAUAGGACUUUGCCACCCCUUUUUGAAACCAUCUGCGAGGAUAUAGUUGUGUAUAGUACACUAAUUCCUCCAAAGAACAUAUACGGGGAAUUGAUACUACCACUAAGGUAAGCUACAGAAGAAAUAUUACUUUCUACCUUUCUCAAGAACCUAGCUGGUAUUAGUAUUGUAGUAUUCUUAACGUCUAAAUGAUCUUGUUUUUGUUUUUUGAUGCAUUGUACUAAAAUGUAUAUAAUAUUUUUCUAAUUUCAUAUUUUGACUGCGCUACAUUUUUAUUCCAGGAGUUGUUAGGGAGCUGUGGAACUAAGUGUAGAUGGGUCCAUGGCCCAGCAAACAGUCUCUGAGUGCCUCAGGCAAGUGUCUGAGUCAGCCUCAUAUAUUGACUAAAUUUAUAAAAUUUCCACAAAACCGACAAGAAAGGACUCUUAUUAAAGAACAAAUCAAAUAAUUAAACAACUACUAACUCGCUAGAGCUGCCAUAACCAACACUGCAUCACGCAUGGAAGAUUAACUACCAAAUAUAUGUUAUCGGAAAAUAAAACAUUAUUACAAUCAUUUUUA
rnacentral:lncRNA from 1 species